rnacentral:rRNA from 1 species
AUUGAACGCUGGCGGCAGGCCUAACACAUGCAAGUCGAGCGGAGCGGCGGACGGGUGAGUAAUGCCUAGGAAUCUGCCUGGUAGUGGGGGAUAACGUCCGGAAACGGGCGCUAAUACCGCAUAAUAUCAGAUGAGCCUAGGUCGGAUUAGCUCGUGGGUGGGGUAAAGGCCUACCAAGGCGACGAUCCGUAACUGGUCUGAGCGGAUGAUCAGUCACACUGUAACUGAGACACGGUCCAUAAUCCUACGGGAGGCAGCAGUGGGGAAUAUUGGACAUGGGGAGAAAGCCUGAUCCAGCCAUGCCGCGUAUGUGAAGAAGGUCUUCGGAUUGUAAAGCACUUUAAGUUGGGAGGCGUUACCAACAGAAUAAGCACCGGCUAACUUAGUGCCAGCCGCCGCGGUAAUUC